UACAGAGGUCUCAAGCGUUGUUCGGAUUCAUUGGGCGUAAAGGGUGCGUAGGCGGCGCGGUAAGUCGGGUGUGAAAUCUUCGGAGCUUAACUCCGAAACUGCAUUCGAUACUGCCGUGCUUGAGGACUGGAGAGGAGACUGGAAUUUACGGUGUAGCGGUGAAAUGCGUAGAUAUCGUAAGGAAGACCAGUGGCGAAGGCGGAUCGU
rnacentral:rRNA from 1 species